rnacentral:rRNA from 1 species
GAUGAACGCUGGCGGCGUGCCUAAUACAUGCAAGUCGAGCGAAUGGAUUAAGAGCUUGCUCUUAUGAAGUUAGCGGCGGACGGGUGAGUAACACGUGGGUAACCUGCCCAUAAGACUGGGAUAACUCCGGGAAACCGGGGCUAAUACCGGAUAACAUUUUGAACCGCAUGGUUCGAAAUUGAAAGGCGGCUUCGGCUGUCACUUAUGGAUGGACCAGCGUCGCAUUAGCUGGUUGGUGAGGUAACGGCUCACCAAGGCAACGAUGCGUAGCCGACCUGAGAGGGUGAUCGGCCACACUGGGACUGAGACACGGCCCAGACUCCUACGGGAGGCAGCAGUAGGGAAUCUUCCGCAAUGGACGAAAGUCUGACGGAGCAACGCCGCGUGAGUGACGAAGGCUUUCGGGUCGUAAAACUCUGUUGUUAGGGAAGAACAAGUGCUAGUUGAAUAAGCUGACACCUUGACGGUACCUAACCAGAAAGCCACGGCUAACUACGUGCCAGCCGCCGCAGUAA